AAGUGCUGGGAUUACAGGCGUGAGCCACCGCGCCCGGCCAGAAUGAGAUUUUUAACACGAGCAGGAAGCACUCCAUGUAAACCUACUGUUUAAUUGGAUAUUGUACUCAAAGGUGCUUCUCUAAAUGAGCCAGUGAAAACCCAAGUGGGCGUUGGAUAAUACUUAACAGAUAGGGUUGCAUAGUUUCAGUGUAACGGUGCCUCUGUGGGUUACAGCACCAUGGUCAAAACUGGAAAAAUAGUUUCUUAGAAACGAAUAAAGGCAAACUAUGGGAAAAUGGUCAUGGAAGGCUCUCUCACUAAGAAGAAGAAAACUCAGAAUGUCUUGUUAUUAGCAACAUAGAUCUCCAACUAAAGGGCUUACUCAUCCCUGCACUUGUGAUGUCUGCAUGGAGAUGAAACAGAGAUUCAAAAGGGUCAGGUCACUGGCUCCAGGUCAACUCUACUACUAAACAGAAAAGCAAGGACCAAAAUUCAGAUCUUUGUGACCCUCAAUGCCACUAUGCCAUGCGAUGAUGCCUGCCUCUUUUAGAGGCCAACUAAUAGGCCAACUUGAUUUUCUUGAGGAAUGGCCGAAUGGAAGUUGAAUGGUUGAAGGUGACUGGCAAACAGAGAAACAAGGCACCAAGAACUGGCUAUUUCCAAACGUGGGCAAUCAGCUUCUGAAUGAAUAGUUCAGAAUGAUGCAGCUCUGGAUGUUGGAAAGGACAAUUCCGGCGUUUUACUCUUCUGACCAGUUUCUUCGUUUUCAUAACUCUACUUGAAGAACAUAUGAUGUUUGCCAGUGUCUGACAUUACGGACCUCACAGCUUACUGAAUCUGAAAACAGGAGAUAGAGAUGGAAAGGCUGCCUCAAGGGAUUCUCUUGCCUCAGCCUCCUGAGUAGCUGGGACUACAGGCUCACAGAACCUUGCCUGCUUUGUUUUCAGCUUUAACAGAAAAUACCAAACUGUUUCCAAAGUGGUCGUAUCAAUCGAUAUUCUCAUCAACAAGGAAAGCCUCAGGAACUUGUUGCAAUAGGGACUGCCAGGUCCCGUUGCACUAUUGGUGGAAGAGAGGUCCACACGGUGCCUACGAUAAGCGAUUUGUUCGUAUCUAUCCAGACUGCAGGUGCAUACAGCCACUCAUCCUCAAAUGCCAUCCUCAGGAGUUUAUGCUGCACACAGACUGGCACAUGUGCAGGAAGACAUAGUGCAGGGCUACGUGCUACAACAUUGUUGGUGACAGCAACAUAUUGGAAGCAACCUGAAUUUUUGUUAAUAGAGGAUUGGCUACAUAAAUGAUGCUAAUCUAUACAACUGGAGUACUAUGAUGCCAUAAAAAAGAAUGUACAAGGUCUUUACGUUUGGAAAGAUCUCUAAGAUAUAAUGAUUUUCUUUGCCUCUCAAGGGAGCUGGGAGAAACUCAAGUCUGAAACUCAAACUCAUCUCAGUCAUUCCUUUCCCUUCAACUAGACCUGAACCUCAGGAGAUCUGGAGUAUGUGCUGAAUUCUACUGGGAACUGAGCCCUCUGAAUAUUAUUAUUGUUUUGCUAAUACUUUUUGCUGGAAAGUACAUCAAACCAGGAUGUGUUGUACCUCUUGCUUUGCCAGACUAUUUAAAAGCAAAAGUGACCAGAUAUCCAACUUAAGGCUGAUCCAGGUUUUUCAUGAUCUAGCCAGGGGAGACAAACCUUCCAGGAAAGUCUCUAGCGAAGGCCAAGGAUUUUAGAAAGUAUCUGUGAACAAAGAAAUGCAAUGUUAGUGGGCUAAUUUCCAUAAUCAAAUGAAGCUGAUGCAAGUGCUUUGUGAAUUGAUGCCCAUCAACGAGAGACUGGAUAAAGAAAAUGUGGCACAUAUACGCCAUGGAAUACUAUGUAGCCGUAAAAAUG
rnacentral:lncRNA from 1 species